GACGAACCGAGCGAACGUUGUUCGGAAUCACUGGGCUUAAAGGGCGCGUAGGCGGGCCGCCAAGUUCGAGGUGAAAUCCUCCGGCUCAACCGGAGAACUGCCUCGAAUACUGGAGGCCUCGAGGCGGGUAGGGGCACGCGGAACUGUGGGUGGAGCGGUGAAAUGCGUUGAUAUCCACAGGAACUCCGGUGGCGAAGGCGGCGUGCUGGACCCGAUCUGACGCUGAGGUGCGAAAGCGUGGGGAGCAAACAGG
rnacentral:rRNA from 1 species